UACGUAGGGUGCAAGCGUUGUCCGGAAUUAUUGGGCGUAAAGAGCUCGUAGGCGGUCUGUCGCGUCGGCUGUGAAAACUCGGGGCUCAACCCCGAGCCUGCAGUCGAUACGGGCAGACUAGAGUGCUGUAGGGGGAGACUGGAAUUCCUGGUGUAGCGGUGAAAUGCGCAGAUAUCAGGAGGAACACCGGUGGCGAAGGCGGGUCUCUGGGCAGUAACUGACGCUGAGGAGCGAAAGCGUGGGGAGCAAACAGG
rnacentral:rRNA from 1 species